GGCUGGAUAGCUCAGUUGGUAGAGCGCUGGAACGGGAAUCCGCAGGUCGCAGGUUCAAACCCCGCUCCAGUCA
rnacentral:tRNA from 1 species